rnacentral:rRNA from 1 species
UACAGAGGGGGCGAGCGUUGUUCGGAAUUACUGGGCGUAAAGGGCGCGUAGGCGGCCCGCUAAGUCGAACGUGAAAUCCCCAGGCUUAACCUGGGAACUGCGUCGGAUACUGGAUGGCUUGAAUUCGGGAGAGGGAUGCAGAAUUCCAGGUGUAGCGGUGAAAUGCGUAGAUAUCUGGAGGAAUACCGGUGGCGAAGGCGGCAUCCUGGACCGACAUUGACGCUGAGGAGCGAAAGCUAGGGGAGCAAACGGG